rnacentral:misc_RNA from 1 species
GAUGAAGAACGCAGCGAAAUGCGAUAAGUAAUGUGAAUUGCAGAAUUCAGUGAAUCAUCGAAUCUUUGAACGCACAUUGCGCCCGCCAGUAUUCUGGCGGGCAUGCCUGUUCGAGCGUCAUUUCAACCCUCAGGGCCCUUUUGGACCUGGCGUUGGGGCUCGGCCGCUACCCUGCGGCCGUCCCCGAAAGAUAGUGGCGGUCUCGCUGUAGCCUCCUCUGCGUAGUAGUUACAUCUCGCACUGGAACGCGGCGCGGCCAUGCCGUUAAACACCCCACUUCUCAAGGUUGACCUCGGAUCAGGUAGGAAUACCCGCUGAACUUAAGCAUAUCAAUAAGCGGAGGA